rnacentral:sRNA from 1 species
UCAUAUAUCAAAAGGUGCGCGUUCGC